rnacentral:tRNA from 1 species
UGGCAUUUGGCCUAGUGGUAUGAUUCUCGCUUGGGCUGCGAGAGGUCCCGAGUUCAAUUCUCGGAAUGCCCC